GGCGCUAUAAGGACGUGUCCUCCAUUUUAUUUGAGCUUUUACCAAGAUGGACACAGAUGGAAGUCUUAGACUUACUUUUUCCUGCAGUUACAGAUAUUGACUGAUCAAAAACAUUCCUCAUUAGCUGGCAUUGAGUCUUUUAGUCUUUAUUUCGACCUUCAGGCGGAUUUUCUGUCGAUCCGAGUCAUCCGACCGAUCCUGGAGUGACUUCAGCAGAUAGCUAUUCUGCAUUAUCCGCAAAUCAUCUUCAUGAACUCAGAGUUUACCGACUGCAGCAUUAUGAAGAGCUUGUUAUAUUUCUGUGUAUUCCAUGUCGUCUUGGUCGGUGUGUUUGGCGAGUUCGUGUCUGUGAUGGAGGGAGAUUCGGUCACUCUACACACUGGACUUUCUGAAAUGGAGUAUGAUGAAGUGAUGGAGUGGAGGUAUGGGGUUGAAGGCAACCUCAUAGCUCAAAUCUACAAUAGACUCUUUAAGAUAUUUAUAUAUGAAUCUAUUUUAGAUGGGAGAUUCACAAACAGACUGAAACUGGACAAUAAAACUGGAGAUCUAACUGUCAGAAACUUCAGAACUGAACUCUCUGGACUUUAUAAAGUAACCAACAGUUACUAUAGACUGAACAAGAUGUUCAAUGUUAGUGCUGUGUCUGUAGAUGAAGUCAAGUCAGUGCUGGUGAUGGUGGGAGAGUCCGUCACUCUACACACGGAUCUUACUGAUGUACAGACAGUCGAUAUGAUACAGUGGAGGUUUCAACGUCAGAAAUCUUCUAUAGCUAAAAUGAAUAGAAAGGCUGUAAAAGUCUCAUAUGAUGAUGCUGAUGAGAGAUUCAGACACAGACUACAUCUGGACUAUCUGACUGGAUCUCUGACCAUCAGGAACAUUGAAAUCUGUCAUUCUGGGUUUUAUGAAGCAGACAUUAACAGCACCACACACACCAUACAUAAGAUGUUCAACGUGACUGCAAGUGGUGAAAAGAACUAUGUAUCAGUGAUGGAGGGACAAUCUGUCUUUUUACAGACUGGUCUCACUGAAAUACUGCUCGAUGACUACAUAAUAUGGAUGUUUGCCGACAUGGUUAUAGCUGAAAUCCACAAAACUCUGCCUAAAUAUGCUGAUAAGAGGUUUAGAGACCAGUUGCAGAUUAAUAAACAGACUGGGUCUCUCACUAUAAAUGAAUGCAAAACCUCAGACUCUGGUCUCUAUGAGCUGAAGAUCAGCAGCAAUCGACAUUCUGUGCAUAAGAGAUUCAUUGUCAACGUCAGUGUGGCAGCUUCAGGAGAAACUACAACGAUUGUUGUUGUUGUUCUGCUGAUUUUUGUGAUUGGAGGGGUUGUCCUUAACGUUCACAGGAGAAACUCUAAAGUAAAAGAUCCGGUGAAGUCACUCUGGUUGAUGGAAGAAGUUAGUGUCGCUCUACUGAGUAAUGCUCAGUUACAGACAGGAAAUCAGAUACUGUGGACGUUUGGGGAUGAAAACACUCCCAUAGCCGAAAUCAAAGACACAGGAGAGAUCAUCUAUUAUCAUGGACCUGAUGGGAGAUUCAGGGACCGAUUAAUGCUGGACAAGACGACAGGAGAUCUCAACAUCACAAACACCAGAACAGCACACACUGGAUAUUAUAAAUUAAAGAUCAGGAGAAAUGCAAAAACCUUAUUCAGGAGAUUUCACCUUACUUUCUUUGAUAACGCAAUGUCAGUGUUGGUGAUGAUGGACAAAUUAAUCAUCCUGAAGACCGAUACUGAACUACAGCCAGAUGAUGAGGUACUGUGGAAGUUUGGAGAUGAAUCCUCUGUUAUAGCUAAAACCAAAGGGGGGGCUAGAGAGUCCAAUACGCUUCCUGGUCCAGGUGGGAGAUUCAGAAACAGAAUGAAGCUUGAUCAACGGACUGGAUCUCUGACCAUCAAAGACACCAGAACCACAGACUCUGGACAGUAUAAACUAGAAAUCAUCAGAAGUGGAAAGACCUCAGUCAAGUUAUUCAUUGUUACCAUCUCUGAUCCUGCUGGAUUCGGAAAUGUGCAAGAGGAAGAAGCUUUGUUGUAGCAGGAACACUUCAGUGACAGUAUUUAAUUCCAGUCACCACAGAUGGAAACCACAGAGAUUUUGUGUUUGGACAGGACCUUCUACAUUUCUGAGGGGUUCUAGGAGUGCCCUUCUACUCUCUUCCCGCCCCCACACUCCAAUUCGGCAUCCUGGUGUAAUGUAACAUUUUAUUUAAUGUAUAUCAUAGAUUUGUUUCUCUUGUGUAUGUGGCACAGAAGGGAAAUAAUCACGAGGAUAAAGUUACAAACUUUGCCUUAUUCAUGUUGCCAGAUCCUGAAAAGGGAAGAAGAAAAACUAUUUUUAAGAAAAUGUAUAUUUUAAAAAAGAAUUAAGGUGACACGGUGGUGCAGUAGGUAGUGCUGUCGCCUCUCAGCAGGAAGAUCGCCU